rnacentral:rRNA from 1 species
CGUGGGCAACCUGCCUCAUAGAGGGGAAUAGCCUUCCGAGAGGAAGAUUAAUACCGCAUAAGAUUGUAGCUUCGCAUGAAGUAGCAAUUAAAGGAGCAAUCCGCUAUGAGAUGGGCCCGCGGCGCAUUAGCUAGUUGGUGAGGUAACGGCUCACCAAGGCGACGAUGCGUAGCCGACCUGAGAGGGUGAUCGGCCACAUUGGGACUGAGACACGGCCCAGACUCCUACGGGAGGCAGCAUG